UACGGGGGGGGCAAGCGUUGUUCGGAAUUACUGGGCGUAAAGGGCUCGUAGGCGGCCAACUAAGUCAGACGUGAAAUCCCUCGGCUUAACCGGGGAACUGCGUCUGAUACUGGAUGGCUUGAGUCCGGGAGAGGGAUGCGGAAUUCCAGGUGUAGCGGUGAAAUGCGUAGAUAUCGAGAGGAACACCUGCGGCGGAGGCGGGUUGCUGGGCUGAUACUGACGCUGAGGCGCGAAAGCCAGGGGAGCGAACGGG
rnacentral:rRNA from 1 species